AACGAACGCUGGCGGCAUGCCUAACACAUGCAAGUCGAACGAGACCUUCGGGUCUAGUGGCGCACGGGUGCGUAACGCGUGGGAACCUGCCCUUAGGUUCGGAAUAACUCCCCGAAAGGGGUGCUAAUACCGGAUAAUGUCUUCGGACCAAAGAUUUAUCGCCUUUGGAUGGGCCCGCGUUGGAUUAGCUAGUUGGUAGGGUAAAAGCCUACCAAGGCGACGAUCCAUAGCUGGUCUGAGAGGAUGAUCAGCCACACUGGGACUGAGACACGGCCCAGACUCCUACGGGAGGCAGAAGUGGGGAAUAGUGGACAAUGGGCGAAAGCCUGAUCCAGCAAUGCCGCGUGAGUGAUGAAGGCCUUAGGGUUGUAAAGCUCUUUUACCCGGGAUGAUAAUGACAGUACCGGGAGAAUAAGCGCCGGCUAACUCCGUG
rnacentral:rRNA from 1 species